GGGAGAUAAAAAAAAAAAAAUAAAAAAAAAAAAAAUGGAAAACAGCAAUAAAUCAGUCAGCUUUGUCCUUUCUGCGUCGUCCACAGGAAUGUUUGUCUCCUCUUAGCAUCGGGAGCUCCUCAGGCACUUUCAAGUCCUCCUCUUUCUCCCCUCUCCUCCACCUCCAGCGAGUUCUUGGGGUGGGCAGAGAGAGGCGGCACACACUCUUCAGGUUAAACUAAAAGGCUGUCGGGCUAUGAGUCCUCCCCUUCAGAGAAAGCAGUCAGGCUAAACAGGAGAGAAGCACCAGCUAAACUGAACUUGGGCGUGCAGUGACCAGCUGGGCAUCUUUGUGUCCUGUGGCUACUCUUCCAGAGGCAGAGGGAGCCAGAGACAAAGCAACAGGACAAGGAAAUCAUAGCCCUUUAUUUUCCUUCUUUGGGCUUCUUUCUUUCUAUGUCCCAGGACACUUCCUUUAAAGACGGCCACAGAAUUUGCCACCCUCUUUCUAUGAAUGUCUGCUGAAAUAGAAAUCCCUUCUCCUCCUCCUUCUCCCUCCCUCCUCCCCCCCUCUCCCCUUCCCUUUCCUAUUCCCUUCCCUCUCUUCUCCCUUUCCCUCUCCCUACCCCUUCUGCUCUUGGGCAGAGCUUGGUGCCCCUCACUGGGAAUUGCAUUCACGUGUCUUUCGUAGGAAAAAAAAAAAAUAAAAAAUAUAAUUUCAAGCUCCCCCCACCCGUCGCCUACACCCUCUCACACACGAGCACGCAUUCACACGUACGCACACACACUUUGUCUCCCUCUCACACAGACAUGCACAAUUUUUUUCCUCUUCCCCAUCCCUCCUCUUCUUUUGAAUCAGCAACACUUUUCUUUGCAAGGACUCUCGGCAAGGCUCUUAGAGAGCAACCCAAGAAGUCUGCUCCAGCUUCUUUCCUCCGAGAGUGCAUCGCCACCUUCCCCACACGUUUAUUUUGCUUUCACUCCUCCGGGCACUUUCUAGUUCUGAGUUGUCAGCUGGGAGGAUUGGGUUUACCUCGCUCGUGUUGCUGUGGAUACUUCAUGAGUUAG
ensembl:lncRNA